rnacentral:snRNA from 1 species
AUACAUUUCUCGGCCUUUUAGCUAAGAUCAAGUAUAGUAUCUGUUCUUAUCAGUUUAAUAUCUGAUACGUAGGCUAUUAAUUUUCUAUUUAGCCAACUAUAGUAGCAUGCUACUACUAGCAUCAUACAUAUU